GGGUGCGAUCAUACCAGCGUUAAUGCACCGGAUCCUAUCAGAACUCCGCGGUUAAGCACGCUUGGGCUAGAGUAGUACUGGGAUGGGUGAACUCUUGGGAAGUCCUAGUGUUGCACCCU
rnacentral:rRNA from 1 species